CUCUAAAACUCUAAAUGGUUACAAAUAAGGCAAAUGCCAGAGACCAUUUUACAAACCGCCUCUUAUCUUUGCAGCAUCAGUAAAUUAAAAGUAUCGACUGGGUAUACAAAGUGUCGGCUAUGGUUCAAUUUUGGUGAUUUCCGUUGACACUUAUCAAUCUCUAAGGCAUCGAUAGUCAAAGUAUUCAUCAUUUGUGGUAUUUUUAUGGUACUCAUCAUUCUAUCGGUACUCAAUAUAAUUUUAAUUUUAUUUUUAUUUUUAUAUUGUGGUUCAGUUCUGCUUGUAUUCAUUUGGGUACACACAAAGUAAUAUCUGUGGUUCAACUUUGGUGAUUUCCGCUGGUACUCAUCAGUGUCUAAGGCAUCGAUGGUCUGGUUAUUCAUCACUGGUGGUGAUUUAUGCUAUAAUGGUCAUUCUACUGGUACGCUAUUUAAUUCCAUAUUGAUGGUUUCUAUAUUAUUUUCGCUUAUGUUUUAUGAAUGCUUGGCUGAAACUUAAUGGGUAUUGUCUGAUUUGAUCU